AAUAGGAGUAGUCCUCGUAAAAAAUAAAAGAAGUAACUUAUUAUUUUCUGAGAAGUAAAUUUUUAUUUUUUUCUUAAACUUUUAUAAAUUUACUAAAGUAGAGUCGUACCUUUUGCAUUAUGGUUUAACAAGACUUUUUCCGCGGUAAACCCUCGAAAAAAAGUGAGUUGACCCUGGCUUGUUUAGAACUGAAAUGUUUACCGUUUCAACGGCAUCAUUAAAGCUAGGGUCAGAGGCUACAUACCUACCGCGCUUUUUUAUAGCUAGUUCUUUAUUAAAGCUAUUUUAGUAGCGGGAAGAGAUUUCUUCUCUUAUAUGUAAAAGGUUAAGCUUUUGCAUAAAAAAGCGGGAAAGCAGAUAGUCUAUAUAGUGGGCCUUAAAACAGCCAUCUUUAAAGUCCGUUAUAGGAGAUUAAAAUUAAAUUUUCGUUCCCUUGUUUCUUAAUAAAGUUCAAUUUUUUAUUACUAUGAAAUUUAUAAAUAGGUUAAAAUCAGUAACUUAGGAGGCUAAGCUAAGGAACUCGGCAAACAAUCAUGUCCGACUGUUUACCAAAAACAUUGCCUCUUGUAGUAAUUUGAGGUACAUCCUGCCCUAUGCUAAGGUAAAUGGCCGCAGUACUCUGACUGUGCAAAGGUAGAUUGAUAAAUUGCCCUUUAAUAGUGGGAUUCACCAAUGGAUAAACGAGAUAUGCACUGUCUCAGCUUAGUAGAGUGAAUUUAACAAGAAGGUGAAGAGGCCUUCAUAAAUUUACGGGACGCGUAGACCCUACAGCGCUUUAUCUUUUUAGGUUUGGUUGGGGCGGCACUGGAGAAUCUAAAUCCUCCACUAAUAAAAAGGCUAACAAGCAAAGGAUCCAGUAAUUUUGAUAAAAGGCAUUAGCAACCUUAGGGAUAACAGACUCCUCCCUCUAGAGAGCUCAAAUUGAUAGAGGGGUUAGGCACCUCGAUGUUGGCUCGGAUGAAGCAGUUUGGUGCAGAAGUUAAACAAAGCGGGUUUGUCCAACCUUUAAUUGUCCUUGUGAGCUGAGUUCAGACCGGCGUGAGCUAGGUUAGGUGCUACCUGUAAAUAGAAAAGGAGUUUAAGGUCGUACGAAAGGAUCCUUUAGGCGAAGACAAAGUUUUUACACUAUAGGUGUAGUGAGUUAAAA
rnacentral:rRNA from 1 species